AAAUGAGCGAGUUAAUAUAAAGUGAAGUCAAACAUUUGUUGAUAGCAAAGGUGACUUUCGACAAAAUGGCUGGAGCAAGUGAUGCCCAUGGUGACGCUCAAUUCAAAGGAUGGCAAAAGCAUUUCAAUACAUACACAAUACGUGGUAGAUCUAAUAUUACAUAUGCAACUUACUCUGCCCUUGCAUUAUUUGGACUUUAUAUGUAUCUGAAACCAAAGAAGAAGCCUCAACAGGCUUAGAAUUUUCUUAUUUAGAACUCAAAACUGGGAAAGCUUUUGAUUUGUUAUGAAGAAUGCUCAUUCACUUUAAAAAAAUACUAAACAGAAAUUCUUCUGUCAUAAUUCAAAAUUUGACAUUUAAUAGAUUAUAUCACUUUUUAUUUCAUAGCAUAGAAAUAAUUGAUUUAUCAAUAUGAUAACUGGUAUCAACAUUUGUUAACGUUGUAAAUAUGUCUUGGAAAGUGAGAUAUAAAAUACUUAUUUGAAAUGGAUUAUUUGUUUCAUCUCCAUUGACAUAUUUAAUAAAAAAUAUUAUUCAAAA